GCCCAGACUCCUACGGGAGGCAGCAGUGGGGAAUAUUGGGCAAUGGGCGCAAGCCUGACCCAGCAACGCCGCGUGAAGGAAGAAGGCUUUCGGGUUGUAAACUUCUUUUCUCAGGGACGAAUAGAUGACGGUACCUGAGGAAUAAGCCACGGCUAACUACGUGCCAGCAGCCGCGGUAAUACGUAGGUGGCAAGCGUUAUCCGGAUUUACUGGGUGUAAAGGGCGUGUAGGCGGGGACGCAAGUCAGAUGUGAAAACCACGGGCUCAACCUGUGGCCUGCAUUUGAAACUAUCGUUCUUGAGUGUUGGAGAGGCAGGCGGAAUUCCGUGUGUAGCGGUGAAAUGCGUAGAUAUACGGAGGAACACCAGUGGCGAAGGCGGCCUGCUGGACAAUAACUGACGCUGAGGCGCGAAAGCGUGGGGAGCAAACAGGAUUAGAUACCCUAGUA
rnacentral:rRNA from 1 species